ACCAGGCAGCGCCCUGUCACAUUCAUGACCUUCACUCGCGUAGUGCUGUGUGGGUAGCUAGUUUCUCAUUUCUGUUACUUGUGGGACGAAAAUGGAUUCUGCAAGUUAAAAAUACGUUUGAAAUGCACUUUUAGGGACUUCAUAAUAGGGGGAGAGACACAAGAAUUGACCAUAUGCCUCACGAGGGUUGGAAGACUGGAUUUGUUUCUGUGAUGAGUUUAAUUUUUGUUUCAGAAUGUUAUACAGAGCCUUGGCUUUGAGAAAAGAUGACUACACGAGUUAUUCAUGUACUUCAAAGACGUCUGAUUGAAUUUGAGGAGACGUAAUAUUCUCAUUGAAUAUACUAUAUCCAUGAAAGCAGGUGUGUUAUUAAGGAUGGUGAAAUGCAGUCUUUAUCAUUUACGCAUUUCAGCACAUGCCAUCAUCAGGUCAUAAUGUUUGCUUUCUUCGGUCUGUGAUGCUGACUCAUGACAAGGACUUGGUUUCAUCACCAUCUGCUGUAACAGCGAGCGACUACUGACACACAGCUGUAUGAAGCAGAAAUGCAUGCAUGGCCUCUUGUGCAACAAGAAGAGACUACUGCUCAUAUUACAGCUGACCUAAGGACACAAGAGGAUGCUGAGCAGCUAGUCCUACAUUAUGUUGGAUUAUAGAUAGAAGCAUCUGCACGUUGCGCCUUUGUGUGAGAGAUGCGUGUUUGGAAUAAAACAUUAUGCAGGAAGAACUUUAUUAUGCUUGUAGUAAGCUAUCUCAACAGCAGACAUUUAUGUAUAGUUAAUUUGUUCCUUCUGCAGAAUUUUGGUAUGAAAUCUAGAGUCCAUUAAUUCUGAUCAUCGCCUAUUUCUUGUUGCAGGCCAUGGAUUUUAUUAAGAAAGUUGUCUGAUUAGGAACUUUAAUUUUUGUCUGAAAUUUUUUGAUUUACACUAUAAAUGUAUCUGAUAAUGAACUUUGUUCAAAUCUCACUAAUUUUGUGGUACAUUGGAACUUGAUGUUUCAUUCGGCCAGCAUAGUGUGAUGAGAGGAUAUUAAGAGUUUUGAUUAAAAUAUUACCAUGGUAAUAGUUGUGUCACAGGAUAAGAGAAUUUUUUAUGGAGACUGGAAUAAGAGAAACUUGUGUGUUCUUUCUUGCUUUUUUGGUUAAUGCGAAGAUAGAUUUACAUGCACUUGAAGCAUUGUGGUACACUAUCAACUUGAAGCAUGUUAAGUUAAGUUAAGUUGUUGUACAGUUGGCAGAGAUGAAGAUGAUAACCAAGUAAGAAACUUUCUGGUUUCUGUAUAAUUAUGAAUAGUUGGUAACUGGAAUAUGUUAGAGAAAUGCAUAGACUAUUCCUAGUGACAGUGCCUUCAGAAAUAUGUGAACACCAUAUUUUUAGGGAGAAUGCCUUGAAAAAUACAUUCUCAAUUGGAAGGUUUAAAAAAUACGGAAACGUAGGUAGUAUGUAGCAGUAGGUGUGUAUUGAAUUGUCAGGUAAAUAUUUUUCUUGCUGAAGGAAAGUCAAAGAAUGUGUGGUGAUUGUGAUUGUUGAGUCUGCAGACGGAGCUGGCUUUGGCUCAUAUUGAGAUUGCUUUUUUGAAAACUGCAGAAAAUACCAGUUGUAGUUGUAGCAGUAACUGUUCAUCCUCUUUGUGGACCAACGUUAAAGCCAAAGACCGAAGCAGAAUCAAAAGUCUUUCCUCCAUAAAUGUGUGAAUGUAAAACUGACAAAGAAGUUUGAGCCUCUAAGUAUGGAGCCAAAAAUUGUUGCUCAGUUGAAGAAAGAUGAGAAUCCUAAACCUAAAAAUAAAAAAUAUAAG